AGAGUCCUCUCCCUGUAACCCAGAAUGUUUGCACGUCCCACCCGCGCUUUGCCCAGCUCCUCACUGUCCUUGGACUUCCCUGGAGAACGUAGAACUGAUGUGCACUGUUGGCUCCUGUUGUGCUGCACAGGCCUCCGUACAAACGGAACUCAAGGGUUAGUCUUUGUGACUCGUGAGGUGACUACACUAACACCUGGUGUUGAUAAGAUGGCAUGAAAACAGCCAGCUCUGGAAGUCGUGCGGAGUGAUGGCUCAGAAGUGAAUAGUGCUUGCUGCUCUUUCCAAGGACCCGAGAUGGGUUACCAGCACCCAUGUUCUCCAGAUCACAGUCUUCGCUAACUCCAGCUCCAGGGCUUCUAACCCCCUCUUCUGGCCUCCAUGGUACCUUUACUCAUGUGCCUGACAUCCUCCCACACAUACUUAAUGAAAAAUUAGAAUUAAAUCUUUAAUAAUAAUAAUAAAGAGUCCCGGAAGAGUUUCA
rnacentral:lncRNA from 1 species